AGUUUGAUUCGGCUCAGAUUGAACGCGUAGGAUGCACUUCUACAUGAAAUCGGGCAUGGCACGGACAGUCUGGUGGCGAGUGAACUGGGUGAGUAAUGUAUCGGAACGUGCCUAGUAGCGGGGGAUAACUACGCGAAAGCGUAGCUAAUACCGCAUACCCUUCGGGGGAAAGCGGGGGGACCUUCGGGCCUCGCACUAUUGAAGCAGCCGAUAUCUAUCGGAUUACGGCUAGUUGGUGGGGUAACGGCUCACCAAAGGCGACGAUCGUAGCUGGUUUUGAGAGGACGACCAGCCACACUGGGACUGAGACACGGCUGAACUCCUGCGGGAAGCUGGCGUGGAAUUUUGGACAAUGGAAACCCUGAUCAGCCAUCCCGCGUGUGCGAUGAAGGCCUUCGGGUUGUAAAGCUUUUGGCAGGAAAGAAACGGCACGGGAUAAUACCCCGUCUGGCGAUGACACCUGCAGAACACCAACUACAUUACGCAGCAGCGCGGUAAUACGUAGGGUGCAAGCGUUAAUCGGAAUUACUGGGCGUAAAGCGUGCGCGGUUCCGGAAAGAAAGAUGCCAAAUCCCAGACUUAACUUUGGAACUGCAUUUUUAACUACCGAGCUAGAGUGUGUCAGAGGAGGUGGAAUUCCGCGUGUAGCAGUGAAAUUGUAGAUAUGCCGGAGGAACACCGAUGGCGAAGGCAGCCUCCUGGGAUAACGCGCUCAUGCACGGCAAUGGGGAGCAGACGGGGAUUACGAUACCCUGGUGGUCCACGCCCUAAACGAUGUCAACUAGCUGUUGGGCGUGGUUGCCGCCAGUAACAGCUAACGUGAAGUUGACCAUACAAGGUACGGUCGCAAGAUUAAAACUCAAAGGAAUUGACAGGGACCGCACAAGCGGUGGAUGAUGUGGAUUAAUUCGAUGCAACGCGAAAAACCUUACCUACCCUUGACAUGUCUGGAAUCCCGAAGAUUUGGGAGUGCUCGCAAGACGGGCCGGUGCUGCAUGGCUGUCGUCAGCUCGUGUCAUGAGAUGUUGGGUUAAGUCCCGCAACGAGCGCAACCCUUGUCAUUAGUUGCUACGAAAGGGCACUCUAAUGAGACUGCCAUUGACAAACCGGAGGAAGGUGGGGAUGACGUCAAGUCCUCAGCCAUAUGGGUAGAGGCUUCACACGUCAUACAAUGGUGGGACAGAGGGUCGCCAACCACGAGGGAGCCAAUCCCAGAAACCCGAUCGUGAGUCCGGAUCUGAUCUCUGACUCGACUGCGUGAAGUCAGAAUCACUUCAUUGUGCGGAUCAGCAUAUCGCGGUGGGCCGUUACAGGUCUUGUAUGUACCGCCCGUCACACCAUGGGAGUGGGUUUACCAGAAGUAGUUAGCCCUAACCGUAAGGAGGGCGAUUACCACGGUAGGAUUCAUGACUGGGGGUGAAGUCGUAACAAGGUAGCCCUGUUACU
rnacentral:rRNA from 1 species